rnacentral:rRNA from 1 species
CCUACGGAGGGCAGCAGUGAGGAAUAUUGGACAAUGGGCGGAAGCCUGAACCAGCCAAGUCGCGUGAGGGAAUAAGGCCCUACGGGUCGUAAACCUCUUUUGCCGGGGAGCAAGGGCCGGGACGAGUCCCGGUCCGGAGAGUACCCGGAGGAAAAGCAGCGGCGAACUCCGUGCCAGCAGCCGCGGUAAUACGGGGGAUGCGAGCGUUAGCCGGCUUGAUUGGGUUUAAAGGGUGCGUAGGCGUGCUUGUAAGUCAGCGGUAAAAAUUCGGGGCUCAACCCCGUCCGGCCGUUGAAACUGGGGGCCGUGAGUGGGCGAGAAGAAGGCGGAAUGCGUGGUGUAGCGGUGAAAUGCAUAGAUAUCACGAAGAACCCCGAUUGCGAAGGCAGCCUUCCGGCGCCCUACUGACGCUGAGGCACGAAAGUGCGGGGAUCGAACAGGAUUAGAUACCCUAGUAGUC